rnacentral:rRNA from 1 species
GAUGAACGCUGGCGGCGUGCCUAAUACAUGCAAGUCGAGCGAACAGACGAGGAGCUUGCUCCUCUGACGUUAGCGGCGGACGGGUGAGUAACACGUGGAUAACCUACCUAUAAGACUGGGAUAACUUCGGGAAACCGGAGCUAAUACCGGAUAACAUGUUGAACCGCAUGGUUCAACAGUGAAAGACGGUCUUGCUGUCACUUAUAGAUGGAUCCGCGCCGCAUUAGCUAGUUGGUAAGGUAACGGCUUACCAAGGCAACGAUGCGUAGCCGACCUGAGAGGGGGAUCGGCCACACUGGAACUGAGACACGGACCAGACUCCUACGGGAGGCAGCAGUAGGGAAUCUUACGCAAUGGGCGAAAGCCUGACGGAGCAACGCCGCGUGAGUGAAGAAGGUCUUCGGAUCGUAAAACUCUGUUAUUAGGGAAGAACAAAUGUGUAAGUAACUAUGCACGUCUUGACGGUACCUAAUCAGAAAGCCACGGCUAACUACGUG